rnacentral:rRNA from 1 species
GACGAACGCUGGCGGCGUGCCUAAUACAUGCAAGUAGAACGCUGAAGAGAGGAGCUUGCUCCUCUUGGAAGAGUUGCGAACGGGUGAGUAACGCGUAGGUAACCUGCCUUGUAGCGGGGGAUAACUAUUGGAAACGAUAGCUAAUACCGCAUAACAAUGGGUGACCCAUGUCAUUCAUUUGAAAGGGGCAACUGCUCCACUACAAGAUGGACCUGCGUUGUAUUAGCUAGUAGGUGAGGUAACGGCUCACCUAGGCGACGAUACAUAGCCGACCUGAGAGGGUGAUCGGCCACACUGGGACUGAGACACGGCCCAGACUCCUACGGGAGGCAGCAGUAGGGAAUCUUCGGCAAUGGGGGCAACCCUGACCGAGCAACGCCGCGUGAGUGAAGAAGGUUUUCGGAUCGUAAAGCUCUGUUGUAAGUCAAGAACGAGUGUGAGAGUGGAAAGUUCACACUGUGACGGUAGCUUACCAGAAAGGGACGGCUAACUACGUGCCAGCAGCCGCGGUAAUACGUAGGUCCCGAGCGUUGUCCGGAUUUAUUGGGCGUAAAGCGAGCGCAGGCGGUUUGAUAAGUCUGAAGUUAAAGGCUGUGGCUCAACCAUAGUUCGCUUUGGAAACUGUCAAACUUGAGUGCAGAAGGGGAGAGUGGAAUUCCAUGUGUAGCGGUGAAAUGCGUAGAUAUAUGGAGGAACACCGGUGGCGGAAGCGGCUCUCUGGUCUGUAACUGACGCUGAGGCUCGAAAGCGUGGGGAGCGAACAGG